ACGGAGGAUCCGAGCGUUAUCCGGAUUUAUUGGGUUCAAAGGGUGCGUAGGCGGACUAAUAAGUCAGUGGUGAAAGCCCCUCGCUUAACGAGGGAAUUGCCGUUGAUACUGUUAGUCUUGAGUACAGUUGAGGUGGGCGGAAUGUGUUGUGUAGCGGUGAAAUGCUUAGAUAUAACACAGAACACCGAUUGCGAAGGCAGCUCGCUAAACUGUAACUGACGCUGAGGCACGAAAGCGUGGGUAGCAAACAGGA
rnacentral:rRNA from 1 species